AACAGCUGCUUUCGGUGAACGCGCGGGCAGCAGAUUUGCACAGCGCAGGGCUGUGUGAACGCGCAGGGGCAGCAGAUUCGCAUGAUCUCCUCUGCCAUGGCAUGCUUUUUGCUACGAAACUGCAGCCAUCUCGUCACUCAUUGGAGAAGGAUGAGAAGCUGCCCCCCAGCCAGAGGGACACAUCUGCCACCAAAUCCGUCGCUCACUGGAUUCUGUCAUCUCCGUCUCUGUGUCUCCCACAAUCCGUGUGUCUGUCUGCUGUAUAUGUGGACCGUCUGCUGCACUGCGUCUGUUCUGCCAUUUACUCUAACCUGUUUUUUUUUUGUGUGUCCCAACUCUGACCAGCAUGUUCUCCUAUGGAACACGAAGUACCUGAAGUGGAUUGAAGAAGCCCAUGUUUGAGGCCCGCGCCCCCGGCUGGAGCAGUGAAGGGGCAUCUGACAGUCUUCCUCCUCCGUCGCAGGACACAGCGUUAGCCUCAGUCGAUCCAACAAAGA